rnacentral:tRNA from 1 species
GGUCGGGAUAGCUCAGUGGUAGAGCGAUCGGCUGUGCACUUUAUGUAAGUGAGCGGUCAUAGCGUAGGUUCCAAUCCUACCUGAGAUCG